UUUAAAGAGAGUUUGAUCCUGGCUCAGGACGAACGCUGGCGGCGUGCCUAAUACAUGCAAGUCGAACGAACGGAGGAAGAGCUUGCUCUUCCAAAGUUAGUGGCGGACGGGUGAGUAACACGUGGGCAACCUGCCUGUAAGUUGGGGAUAACUCCGGGAAACCGGGGCUAAUACCGAAUGAUAGAAUGUGGCGCAUGCCACGCUUUUGAAAGAUGGUUUCGGCUAUCGCUUACAGAUGGGCCCGCGGUGCAUUAGCUAGUUGGUAGGGUAAUGGCCUACCAAGGCAACGAUGCAUAGCCGACCUGAGAGGGUG
rnacentral:rRNA from 1 species